rnacentral:lncRNA from 1 species
CUGCAGGCCGGCCCGCUGGAUUUGAUUGCAUCUCUUCUCCGAGACUUCAUCCACCAACUUGAUCUUGUCUCGGUUCACUCAUCAUCUCAGUCCUGAGUCAAACUUGCGUAUCAACCAUCUCAAGGUUUCAGCUCAAACUUUGGUCAUCCGAAUCCUGAAACAGCUGCGUGAUCUGCAGCUGCAGAGUUCAACAGCCAGAUGAUCAGAAAACAGCACUAAUCCAAAAAAGAACAGCACUAAUCCUAAACAUAUAUAGACCAAAUUCCCAAGUAGUAGUAAUGUCAGCCUUGCGUUGUUCUAAACUUCUAAUGGACUAUGUUCACUGCUGAUUAAGAGUCAAAUGUUUAUGAGCCUUACCUGCACUAAUUCAUCUUGUCAGUUAUAUUCUCCCGUUAACCAAUUGCAUGCUCAUGCUGUUACAAAGUUACUGCAGAGGCCCGAUCAAAACAAGAGACCAACUCCUUCCAUUUAAUCCCACCAUAAAUCCCCUUGUUACAACUCCCCUUAACGCAAUAAAAUACCAUAAAUCGCUUUGUUACAACUCACGUUAGCACAAUAAAGCAAAGGGAAACCACCAUAAUUUACUCCUCUCGUCCCCAAGCUCAUUUUCUAGAACUCCAGAUCUUUUUGUAUCGGGAAAAGAGAUGGAAGAUGAGAGGAAAAGAGCCAAACUGCGCAAAUCCCUGCAGCUCUGCAUCUCCAAGAAACUCAAGAAGAUCCCUCCGAUUCACAUCCCCAGCUCGACCAUUCCCGCAACCAUCGCCAGCAGCAGGCGGCUCCUCUCCACCUGCAGGUUCCCGCGUACACCGUCGCUGGACAUGGACCAGGCCGCCACCGCUACCACCAACAACAACAACAGCGGAGGCCACGCGGCGACGCUCUCCGACGUCGACCGCUUCCUCUUUGACAACUUUCGGUCUCUCUAUAUCCAUGACCAUGACGACGACAACGCGCGUUUUUCGUCAUCGCCCAGGACGUCAUCCACGUCCAUUAUCGACGAGACGCAGCUCACCGCAGGAACAACAUCCUUGUCGAACUCAGUCAAGGAAGACACCGGAGAAGCCCGACCAGGUGAUGACACCAGCGAUGAUGCGGCCAUAGUCCUAUUCUCCAUGGACCCUUACACCGACUUCAGGAGGUCCAUGCAGAACAUGAUAAAGAUGCACCACGGUCUGGAAUCUCAGUCACUGGACUGGGACUUCUUGGAGGAGCUACUCUUUUACUACCUGCAGCUCAACGAUCAAAGUGUGCACAGGCACAUUCUCAAGGCCUUUGCUGACCUCACUGCUGGAACCCAAAGGGAUAUCCCAGCCUGUGGAAAACCGCACUGGGCUGACAAGAGCGUUAGGAGUAGGAAAUACUAGGACACAGAUUCAAAGAUUUAUGUUACAGGAUACAUGUUGCUACUGUACCAUGUCAUCUAUUGCAUAACCUGAUUCGCAAAGAAAUGUAACGGAAUGUAGAAUACAUCUUCCUGUAUUGAAUCCGAAGAAUGCUGUAGACAGAUAUAUGGGUUAAGGAUUCCGAACAGAGUUUCUGACAUUUUAAGGAUUGAUUUGAUUCGUCAUGUGUAAACCGGAGGUAGUCUAUUACACACCUCGAUCGUCUGCCCUCUCCCCCUUGCUCUGCUUUCCUUAAUAUUCACCGUCGAGUCAUCAAAGCCAUCAACUAAUUCAAAGGGGCUCGGCUGGCCCGGUCGCCCUACACUAACGUCCCUUCCAAAGGUGAAGCUCUCGUCUUUGGCAACCAGCAAAUGGAGGGCUAAAACUGUAGUUUUGAAGAGUGAUUAAUGCUCCAGAUUUUUGACUUAAUUUGUUUCUUUAUCUAGUGAGCUCAAACAGGAUCUUCAUUAGUUGUGUUCCAGUUGGAAAAUUUUAUUUUUUAGUCAUCUUGUCGUUUGAAAUGAAAGAAUUGAAGAAACAAGGCUAAAUUGAUAAAAACUCAUUUUGAUAUUGUUAUUAUUGUUGAACAUUGCAGGAUAUCAGGAUCAGAGCAAGAAACAUCAAUGCUUAAGCAGGAGAGAUAAUUGGGGUUUUCGAGGAUACAGGCAAAGGAAAUCUGGUUUUCACAGUUUGCAUGGAAUUGAGGCAUCGGCAGUACUCAAGGCAGUGGCGAAACAUCUGAAAUAAUCAAAAUCAAAGUUUGACAGGGAUAUUCAUGUGGAUUGCUCGGAGAGGAAAAGCAUGAGGGUCCUGCAAAAGGCAGUCGUGAACGAGCUGGAGCUUCCUCUGUCGUUGACGGCCAUCUUCAAUUGGUGCGAUGACUGACGAGGAAGAUGAUUUGUGGGAUAGACGCAGACUCUUCAGGGACGAUAGCAGAUAUCAGUACAGAAAUCUUAAGAAAGCUCGUUAACGGUAGAUUUGUAGUGAUAAUUCACAAUGGGAGUUAAAAAUACAUUGAUCUGUACAAGUGCGGUGUCCCAGUAAUACCAAUUUUAAAUAAUAAGGUGCUGUGGAUCAGGCAUGGGAGGUUUCAACCUGGUUUUUGUUCCAAAUUGAAACAAAUCAGGGAACAAAGAGCUCCAUAGUGACUUUGUUGUCAAUUAUUUUCAACUGGGGGAGCCAUGCUUGUUUUGCCUUCUCUACUACUACAGAUACAAGCCUCGAUGUUCACCUGUAUUGCUAAUGCUACGAUUACCAGUACUAUCUCAAUGUUCAGGCAAUUUUGUUGGGUUUGCCAAAAAAAAGGCAAUUUCUUGGGGAGUAACUUACCUUGUACUUGCAAAUAGAUACCGCACAACAAAAGGGAACUUCCAGGAAGAUAAUUAGAGCCAUCCAGAGCUCUUGACCAUUGGUUGUUCUUGUCAAGAUUUAGAACCUGCUCUUUCGGGAACCUGCCGCUGAAUCAAACUAGUGCGCCUUGUCGUCCAGAUCCAGCAACAGCAGCAUAC